rnacentral:tRNA from 1 species
GCCUGGGUGGCUCAGUCGGUUGAGCGUCCGACUUCGGCUUGGGUCAUAAUCUCACAGCUUGUGGGUUCGAGCCCCGCGUCGGGCU